GCGAGAGUGGCGGAAUUGGCAGACGCGCAGGAUUUAGGUUCCUGUGCCGCAAGGCGUGGGGGUUCGAGUCCCCCCUCUCGCA
rnacentral:tRNA from 1 species